UGACUAUACAAAGGUAUUGUAAUAAGAUUUUAAUUGAAUGCUAAGAGAAUGAGGAUUUAGAAAAAAGCUUUCUUAAAAAUAAAAAUUAAAAUUUUUUUAAUUUGUGCAAAAACAAUUAUUCUCAUUAAAGACAAGAAGACCCUAAGAAUUUUUUAAUUUAAUAAUUUCUAAUAGAGUUACUUAUUAAAUAUUGAUUGGGGUAAUCAAAAAAUAUUAAUAACUUUUUAAUAAAUUAAAAUGACCCAUUAUUAAUGACUUUUUGAAAUAAAUACUCUAGGGAUAACAGCGUAAUAAUUUUUGAUAGAUCAUAUUGACAAAAUAGUUUGCGACCUCGAUGUUGGAUUAGGAUACUUUUUUAAUGAAGAAAUUAAAAUAAGAAGUUUGUUCAACUUUUGAAAUCCUACUUGAUCUGA
rnacentral:rRNA from 1 species